rnacentral:rRNA from 1 species
UACGUAGGGUGCGAGCGUUGUCCGGAAUUAUUGGGCGUAAAGAGCUCGUAGGCGGUGUGUCACGUCGUUCGUGAAAACCUGCAGCUUAACUGUGGGCGUGCGGUCGAUACGGGCAUCACUGGAGUUCGGCAGGGGAGACUGGAAUUCCUGGUGUAGCGGUGAAAUGCGCAGAUAUCAGAGGAACACCGAUGGCGAAGGCAGGUCUCUGGGCCACUACUGACGCUGAGAAGCGAAAGCCAUGGGGAGCGAACAGG